UAAGUUGCUGACAAUUAAAACACCUCCCGCUAUAAUGAAGACAGCGGGAGGUGUUUUAAUUGUCAGAUCAGUUUGAA
rnacentral:sRNA from 1 species